AUUGAACGCUGGCGGCAUGCCUUACACAUGCAAGUCGAACGGCAGCACGGGAGCAAUCCUGGUGGCGAGUGGCGAACGGGUGAGUAAUAUAUCGGAACGUGCCCAGUCGUGGGGAUAACGUAGCGAAAGCUACGCUAAUACCGCAUACGAUCUAUGGAUGAAAGCGGGGGAUCGCAAGACCUCGCGCGAUUGGAGCGGCCGAUAUCAGAUUAGGUAGUUGGUGAGGUAAAGGCUCACCAAGCCGACGAUCUGUAGCUGGUCUGAGAGGACGACCAGCCACACUGGGACUGAGACACGGCCCAGACUCCUACGGGAGGCAGCAGUGGGAAUAUUGGACAAUGGGCGAAAGCCUGAUCCAGCCAUGCCGCGUGUGUGAAGAAGGUCUUCGGAUUGUAAAGCACUUUAAGUUGGGUAGGAAGGGUAGUAACCUAAUACGUUGCUACUUUGACGUUACCGACAGAAUAAG
rnacentral:rRNA from 1 species